UGAGAUAUGGGGCCAAAGAAACCUUGAA
rnacentral:piRNA from 1 species